rnacentral:tRNA from 1 species
GGGGCUUUGGUCUAGUGGCAUGAUAUUCCCUUCGGGUGGGAGUGGUCGGGGGUUCGAUUCCCCCAAGCCCCC